CACCGCAGCAUCAACUCAAGAUUUUUAUUUUCUUUUUCUGAACUGAGGCCACCUCAUUAAGUGAAGCAACUUCCCUGCUUCGGUAGCUUAAAAAGCAUCCUUGACAUCAGCUGCUGGGACAGAAGUGGAGAUAAAGAACAUGUGAAAAGGAGCAGUGGGCAGCUGAAGUGCCCGGGGACCAACUCCAGUUCUUCAUUCGAUUGCCUUGGUCAAGGACACAGACAGGGGUAUUAACCCUGACAUGCAUGUCUUUUUGAUGGUGGGAGGAAAC